CGAGUGGUUCUAUUUUGUUGGUUUCUAGAGUCGCCGUAAUGAUUAAUAGGGAUAGUUGGGGGCAUUGGUAUUGAGUCGCUAGAGGUGAAAUUCUUGGAUUGACUCAAGACCAACUAUUGCGAAAGCAUUAGCCAUGGAUGUUUUCAUUAAUCAUGAACGAAGGUUAGGGGAUCGAAAACGAUCAGAUACCGUUGUAGUCUUAACAGUAAACUAUGCCGACUAGGGAUCGGGCACCCUCAAUUAUGAUGUGUUGCUCGCCACCUUCCGAGAAAUCAAAGUCUUUGUGUUCUGGGGGGAGUAUGGUCGCAAGGCUGAAACUUAAAGGAAUUGACGGAAGGGCACCCCCAGGAGUGGAGCCUGCGGCUUAAUUUGACUCAACACGGGGAAACUCACCAGGUCCAGACAUAACUAGGAUUGACAGAUUGAUAGCUCUUUCAUGAUUUUAUGGGUGGUGGUGCAUGGCCGUUCUCAGUUGGUGGAGUGAUUUGUCUGGUUAAUUCCGAUAACGAACGAGACCUUAACCUGCUAAAUAGCCAGGCCGGCUUUUGCUGGUCGCCGGCUUCUUAGAGGGACUGUCAGCGUCUAGCUGACGGAAGUUUGAGGCAAUAACAGGUCUGUGAUGCCCUUAGAUGUUCUGGGCCGCACGCGCGCUACACUGACAGGGCCAGCGAGUAUUUCACCUUGGCCGGAAGGUCUGGGUAAUCUUGUGAAACCCUGUCGUGC
rnacentral:rRNA from 1 species